rnacentral:lncRNA from 1 species
UGUAAAAGCAGUUACUACAGCAUCAGUCUUGAUUUGGCAACAUCUCACGCACGACGGGGGUUGCGAUUGUUGGGUCAAACCUUGUCUCGGAGGCAUGCAUGCAGCGGCAGCAGCAGCAAAUACUUUGCUAGGAAGUAUUGGGCAUGUCGGCAGCAUGCAGCACCAGCGGCAGCAGUAAAAGAGGAGAGAAGUUACUUCAGUUGCCGUAACUUAGUAGCUAAGCAAAUGCUAGAUGUAAGCAGUGACGUGUCAUAGGAUAUGACGUAUGUGCUUAGAUCAAUUAGAACAGUAGGUCGGUUUGUAAGUGCUAUAUAAAGAGCACCACUCCACCCAGUUGGAGAAGGCCAUUCCAAUUUCAUUACAAGGCAUUUCCUCCUUCUAGUACCACCGUGUGUGCUCCAAGCCUCAAGUGCUAUGUACUAGUACUACUACUACUACUACGUGUGUGUGUGUGAUACACUAGUGAGUGUGUGAGUAGUACGUGUGUGUGCUCAUCCACCGGUCAUCUAUCAGUGUACUCGAGUGCUAGCGAGUAGUUCUGGGCUGACAAUUGGCAUCAGAGCCUCUGGUUGUGGUAGCCAUGGCCGGUGGUAAAGGAGUUCAGCAGCGCACCACCUCGGGUGGUUCCCAGGCGCGGCCAUCACAGGACGGCUCCCAGUCGCCGGCUCCGGAGGAGCGGCGAGGGCGCAGCCGCUCCAGGCGCGGCCAUCGCGGUGAGGUCGUGGUUAGGGAGGUCGUGCGCGAGACCGCGGUCAGUGGUAGCGUACCCAUCACCUUCCCGAUGCUCACACGCUCGAACUACAGCGAGUGGGCGUUGAUCAUGGAGUGCAACCUCCAUGCGGCGAGCCUCUGGGCUCCUAUGGAGGACGACCUGGUGGAGAGAAAGGAGGACAGGAAAGCGGUGGCAGCACUCAUGCGCGCCACGCCGCCGGAGAUGCACGGCAUGCUCGCGGCGAAGGCAAGCGCCAAGGAGGCGUGGGAAGCCAUCCGUACCCAGCGCCUCGGCAGCAACCACGUGCGCGAGGCGAACGCGCAGAAGCUGCGGGCGGACUUCGAGAACAUCGCCUUCAAGGAGGGCGAGCUCGUCGACAACUUCGCCAUGCGGAUCUCCAGCCUUGCGUCACAGCUCCGCGCGCUCGGCGACACCAUGGACGACGCGAGAGUCGUGCGGAAAUUUCUCCGCGUCGUUCCAUCUCGUUUCGCUCAGGUAGCGGUCUCCAUCGAGACUUUGCUUGACCUGAGCGAGCUCUCCAUCGAGGAGCUCACGGGCCGGUUGCGGGUGGUCGAGGACCGCCUUGAUGACGGCCGCGAGAGCUUCGGCGGCGGACAACUCCUAUUCUCGAAGAAGUGGGAGGCGAGGAAGCGUCAAGGACGUGGUGGCGGUGCCCAGAGCAGCGGAGGCGGCACCGGCAGAGGCGGCGGUCGCACCCAGGGUGGAGCCGGACGAGGUGCCGGCAACGACGACCGAGACAAGUGCCGAUAUUGCAGCAUCAAGGGCCACUGGGCCCGUGAGUGCCACAAGAGGAUGGCUGACGAGGAUGCCGCGGCCGCGGCGAACCUCGUCGAGGCUGAAGAAGACGGUGGGCCAGCAAUGAUGAUGGCUUGCGUCGAGACCAUGCAGGAGGGCGGAGUGCCUCCGGCGACCAUGGUCCUGAUAAGCAUCGAAGCCGUGCAGGAGGGCGCAGCACCUCCGGCGACCACGGUGCCGACAACCGUUAAGUCCGUGCGGGAGGCACGGAGCUCUUCAAGUAAUCCCCUCUCGACAUCGGUAGCGCUCUCCUCGGCAACAACGUUCUCGGGAGGCUACGAUUGGGAGGAGAUGAAGACCCGGGUGUGGGGGAGCCACACCCCGGAAACCACGUCCCCUGCGACGCUGGUCAAGCCCGUGCAAGUUGGCACGGCAAAGGCGUACCCGACAUCCUCGGGACCCAAUAAGCCCGUGUCAGGAGGCACGGCAACGACGCAUAUGGUGGGCCAUGUCCCAACCAUGAUGCUGGUGACCAGUGAGACCGUGCAAGAGGCACGACACUCUCAGGUCGGCCAUACCCCGACAACCAGGUUCUCGGGGUUCUGCAAGCCCGUGUGGGCAACACGGCACUCUUCGACGGGCCUCAACAGCUGGGAGGCCAUGAAGAGAAGGUCAUGGGGCGGCAAGGCCUCGACCGUGACUCUGGCGACCAUCGAGGCUGUGCAGGAGGCGCGGUGCUCUAUGGUCAGCCACGCAGCAACCCUGACGCGCUCGGGGUCCAUCGAGUCCGUGCAGAAGGCACGACUCACAACUGUCGGAGGAGAUCCGACAAGCAAGUCUGAUGGGAAGAGCACCAAGGACUCCGCUACCCUGAGAGGAGCCACUCCGGUCAGUGUGGCGUCCGGCACAACGACCCCGGGAAGGGAGUUCCCGGGCAGUGCGGUGUCCGGCACAACGACCCCAGGAAGGGAGUUCCUGGGUAGUGCGAUGUCCGACAAGUCAUCCCCGAGAAGGGAGUUCCUGGGUAGCAUGACGUCCGACACGAUGACCGCGGGAAGGGAGUUCCAUGGCAUUGUGACGUCAGGAACUACGUCCCCAGGAACACUGACGCCCACAGGCGAGGUGGUUCCCGGGCAUGUCAUGUCCCCGCCAACAGCGUGGUCGGACCUGUUCGAUGCCGACAACAACGUUGGCACUCCACACAGGUUCCGACGCCCAGAGGGUUAUUCUCGGCGAGCCUGCGGGACGAUCGCAGCACUGCGAGAUCAAGAAGGACGAGCACGGCGUACGGGCUACACAAACCAUGAGAAGGCUGACAUCCCAAAGAAGGCACUUGGUCGCAUUCGGUUCCGGGAACCACGCGACAAGAUCGGGAUCAUGGAAACAAGCUCCUUCGACAAGGUUGAGGAGGAGAUUGUUGGGUCAAACCUUGUCUCGGAGGCAUGCAUGCAGCGGCAGCAGCAGCAAAUACUUUGCUAGGAAGUAUUGGGCAUGUCGGCAGCAUGCAGCACCAGCGGCAGCAGUAAAAGAGGAGAGAAGUUACUUCAGUUGCCGUAACUUAGUAGCUAAGCAAAUGCUAGAUGUAAGCAGUGACGUGUCAUAGGAUAUGACGUAUGUGCUUAGAUCAAUUAGAACAGUAGGUCGGUUUGUAAGUGCUAUAUAAAGAGC